AGAAUCAACGCUGGCGGCGUGCCUAACACAUGCAAGUCGAACGAGAAAGUGGAGCAAUCCAUGAGUAAAGUGGCGCACGGGUGAGUAACACGUGACUAACCUACCUUUUAGUGGGGGAUAACCUAGGGAAACCUGGGCUAAUACCGCAUAAUACCUACGGGUCAAAGCAGCAAUGCGCUGAUAGAGGGGUCGCGGCCGAUUAGCUAGUUGGCGGGGUAAUGGCCCACCAAGGCAGUGAUCGGUA
rnacentral:rRNA from 1 species